rnacentral:sRNA from 1 species
UGCCGCGGGGCCGGAUCCUCCGCGCAGCCGAGUCCAUCUCCUGGGAAAUGGGGUGGACUGUGUUUCCUUGACCGACUAUUGUGAACUCCCUGUCUCUCCGGCGGAGCGGAGACCAUGGCCCCCACUCAGGGCCCGCGGGCCCCGCUGGAAUUCGGAGGGCCCCUGGGUAAUGGGGCAGUGAGAGGGGACCGCGGGCAAAGGCUGAGCGAAGGAGAGCUGGAGCGGGUGAACUAAGAGCGGGGGCGAGAUCUGAGGAUGGAAGGCUUUGGGGGUGUCGGAGGCAGAGGGACCUGGGGGUUUGCAGCGAAGGGUAGCUGGAGAGGGAGAGCUGAGGAGGGGCCGGUUCUGGGGGCUGCAGAACGGGGAUUUAUGGUGUCAACUGGAAGCAGGAGGAGGGUCUUCGAGGGGGCCUGGGGGCGGGGGACCAAGAUGGACGCCUGGGAAGGGAACUGGGAGGCAGCGGGGUGCCUGGGGGCCGAGGGCUGAGGACGGGGUGCGGAGGCGCACUCUGAAAAUGCCGAGAGGGUCCCGCAGAAACGUCAGGGCGCCCGUGGGGGCCGGCGGGGAGCUGGGGGGCUAGGGGCGGACGCCCGACGUGAUGGCCCUUCCCGCAGGCGCCGCGGCUCUGCUGCUGCUGCUGCCCGCCACCAUGUUCCACCUGCUCCUGGCGGCCCGUUCGGGCCCCGCGCGCCUGCUGGGUCCACCCGCGUACCUGCCUGGACUGGAGGCGCUGUGGAGCCCACGGGCGCUGCUGCUGUGGCUCGCCUGGCUCGGCCUGCAGGCGGCGCUCUACCUACUGCCGGCGCGCAAGGUGCGGGCCCCGCUCGCGGACGCUCGGGGGAGGGAAGCGAAGUGGCUCGGCGAGGGAGAGGACGCCCCAGGCCUUAUCAGAGCCCCCUUGGACCCGCAGGUGGCCGAGGGGCAGGAAUUGAAGGACGAGAGUCGCCUGCGCUAUCCUAUUAACGGCUUCCAGGCCCUGGUGCUGACAGCCCUGUUGGUGGGGCUGGGGAUGUCAGCGGGGCUGCCUCUGGGGGCGCUCCCGGAAAUGCUCCUGCCCUUGGCGUUUGUCGCCACCCUCACCGCUUUCAUCUUCAGCCUCUUUCUCUACAUGAAGGCGCAGGUAGCCCCAGUUUCGGCCCUGGCACCUGGGGGCAACUCAGGUGAGAGGGGUCCCGGGGUGGAGAUGGAGGCAGAUCGGGGAGUCUGCCUGUACAUUCACUCUCCAAUAUUCUCCAGGCAAUCCGAUUUACGACUUUUUUCUGGGACGGGAGCUCAACCCUCGUAUCUGUUUCUUCGACUUCAAAUAUUUCUGUGAACUGCGACCUGGCCUCAUCGGCUGGGUCCUCAUCAACAUGGCCCUGUUGAUGAAGGAGGCAGAGCUUCGGGGCAGUCCCUCACUGGCCAUGUGGCUGGUCAAUGGCUUCCAGUUACUCUACGUGGGUGAUGCCCUCUGGCAUGAGGUGAGGCUGGACUGGACGAGAGUGGGUGUCUGAGGGCUGCAUGGGGACUAAGCCAGUGCGUCUGGGUCUUGUCCCUGCAGGAGGCCAUCCUCACCACCAUGGAUAUCACACAUGACGGGUUUGGCUUCAUGCUGGCGUUUGGGGACAUAGCCUGGGUGCCCUUCACCUACAGCCUGCAGGCCCAGUUCCUGCUGCACCACCCGCAGUCCCUGGGAUUGCCCAUGGCCUCCGUCAUCUGCCUCAUCAAUGCUAUUGGUUACUACAUCUUCCGUGGGGCGAAUUCCCAGAAAAACACUUUCCGAAAGAAUCCUUCUGACCCCAGAGUGGCUGGUAAGCUGGGUCUCUAGGGCCAUGGGUGAGGUGGGGCAGCUGGGCUUCCUUAACUCCCCACUCUGCUAUCUUUCCCCAGGGCUUGAGACCAUCUCUACAGCCACAGGGCGGAAACUGCUGGUGUCUGGGUGGUGGGGUAUGGUCCGCCAUCCCAACUACCUUGGAGACCUCAUCAUGGCUCUGGCUUGGUCCUUGCCCUGCGGGGUGUCACACCUGCUGCCCUACUUCUACCUCCUCUACUUCACCGCGCUGCUGGUGCACCGUGAGGCCCGGGAUGAGCGGCAGUGCCUGCAGAAGUACGGCCUGGCCUGGCAGGAGUACUGCCGGCGUGUGCCUUACCGCAUCAUGCCCUACAUCUACUGAAGCGGCUCCACCACCCCAGGUGGGGGCAUGUGCCCACUCAUCCACCAGCACACCCAGGACCAGGAGCCUGGACACACUUGGGACUCAAGGGCUUGCACCCCACCCAGCCCUGAGCAUGAACAGCCUCAAAGAAGAGGUGGUUUAGAGCAAGGAAAAAAAUGAAACCAGUGACCAAAA